GGUAGUGUUGAUGAUGAUGGCUAUGGAGGUGAUGAUGGUGGUGAUGAUGAAGGGGGUGGUGAUGAUGAUGAUGGUGAUAUUGAAUGUGAUGGUGGGAGUGAUGGUGAUGGUGAUAAUGUGAUAUUUAAAGGUCCACUUAUGAAGACCUUCAUAUGUUUGAAAUUAGACAAAGCUUUAACUGCUGUUGAAUUGGACGAUUGUGAAUACUUCAGAUCAGAGGUCUAAACAGCAAUCCAAUGUCAUCGGAACAAGACCAAACAAUAACACAGAUUUUUACUAAUAUUGACAUGAAAUAAUGAAUGGAUAAUAAUGCUGUAUAGAUAUUUAUAAUUGUAUUGUUUUUAGUUGCUUUAUCUUAUUUCAUAUUCUAUUUUAAAGUUUAUCGUGGAUAUGUUGGAACUAUAGAACAGUUAUAAAAAACAAAGUUAUAUCAUAUCGUCAUUUAUAUAUCACAGUUAAUGCUGUUGAGCAAGAAGUUUCAAAUACCGAGUUUUUCAGGCAGAAUUUGGAUAUCCUACGGAGAGAGAAACUUGCUGUCCAUUACCUUAAACAAUAAACAAUUUAUGGCAACUUUAUCCUGACAACGUCGUUCAGGUAAUAAUGUGGAAUUGUAGAAAUAAAAGUAUUUCAAAGCGGUUACGUGUGAAUUAGAAUUUUCACUGUCAAUUAAAGUAAUACCAAUUCAUCACAAAUGGAAUAGUUAUCAUUUUAAUCGAUUUUUUUAAGAGUUGAAAUUUUAUAGACACUUGAUUUGUCUAGGAUUGCAUCGACAUUCAAGAUAUGGAUGAGACAUCUUUAACCACGAAAAAAGAAUCACCUGAUAUCAAACGAUAUCGUACAUGUCAACGUAUAAAAGACUUCUCAAUUGAGGACGUCUGUUCACUGUUCAGGGACUUUUUAACAAGUUAAAAAUCCAUCAUUUAGUGGAUAGUUCUAUUCCGGGCUUUAGGCACGCCCUGAUAUCCAUAAUAUCCCCCUGCCCCAAAAUGCAACAUACAUAAUGACAACGUCAAAUUUGCAUUUUAAGACACUCUCUGUUAAUGUGAACUGUUUUAACACGGCAGUAUCAUUACAUGUAUAUAGUUGUAGAUAUUCUAGGUUAUCACAUGUAUAUAGAUGUAGAUAUUCUAGGUCAUUACAUGUAUAUAGAUGUAGAUAUUCUAGGUUAGUGUAGUUCUGCGAAGAACUGUUGAUGUUGAUGUUGAUUCUAGUGUGAACUGUAAUGUGAACUCUUUAACAAAGAACAGGUUGAUGGAAAGAUCUUCCAAGAAGACGACGAACAAAUGUUAAAAUAUCACUUCAAAAUGACUUUUUUUCCUUUGGUCAAAUUAAAGAAAGCAAUGAGCGAAAAUUGGAGACACGAAACCCUAGAUGAAAAAGAUAUUGAAGGACCAUAAGUGCAAAAUUAUGUUUUUACUGGUAUGCAUACAAUUCAGAAAUUUUUAUAACUUUUAUAACUUUUAAUAUCAAGAAUUGCGAUGCAAUUGUAAAUAAAUUUCCUUAUAGUUAAAACCAAA